rnacentral:rRNA from 1 species
GAUGAACGUUGGCGGCGUGCUAAUACAUGCAAGUCGAACGAAGACUGUAGUAAUACUGUCUUAGUGGCGAACGGGUGAGUAACGCGUGGGUGACCUGCCCCGAAGUGUGGGAUAACAAUUCGAAAGAACUGCUAAUACCGCAUAAUAUCCAGGAGAUUAGAUGCUUCUGGAUUAAAGGAGUAAUUCGCUUCGGGAGGGGCCCGCGUCCCAUCAGCUAGUUGGUAAGGUAAUGGCUUACCAAGGCGAUGACGGGUAGGGGACCUGAGAGGGUGGCCCCCCACAAUGGAACUGAAACACGGUCCAUACACCUACGGGUGGCAGCAGUAGGGAAUAUUAGUAAUGGGCGAAAGCCUGAACUAGCAACGCCGCGUGUGCGAAGAAGGCCUUCGGGUUGUAAAGCACUUUUUGAGAGGAUGAGGAAGGACGGUACUCUCAGAAUAAGUCUCGGCUAACUACGUGCCAGCAGCCGCGGUAACACGUAGGAGGCAAACGUUAUCCGGAUUUACUGGGCGUAAAGCGCGUGUAGGUGGUUUGGUAAGUAGGGCGUGAAAGCUCCUGGCUCAACUGGGAGAGGACGUCCUAAACUGCCAAGCUUGAGGAUGGUAGAGGGAGGUGGAAUUCCGGGUGUAGCGGUGGAAUGCGCAGAUAUCCGGAGGAACACCAGUGGCGAAGGCGGCCUCCUGGACCACUCCUGACACUCAGACGCGAAAGCUAGGGUAGCAAACGGGAUUAGAGACCCCGGUAGUCCUAGCCCUAAACGAUGUAGACUUGGCGUCGGUGGUUUAAUCGCCAUCGGUGUCGUAGCUAACGCGUUAAGUCUACCGCCUGGGGACUACGGCCGCAAGGUUAAAACUCAA